GGAGGACUAGUACAGGGUCAGGACUUCCACUACUGUGCUUUGUCAGUGGAGACCAUGUGGGGUGCAGGGAUGAGAUAGUCCUGUCCUUCUCAGCCAGUAUUUUACAAUGUUUUGACAUCUUAAAAGCUUGCUGACCAGAGAGACUGUCCCAUCCAGCGAAAGCCAGUUUUCAGAGACAGCAAAGGACUCACUGGGCGUGUCUUUCAAACGCAAACCAACCAAUCUUGGGUACCAGGCAAUUAGAGACCACUCCUACAGCCCCAAACCCUAUG
rnacentral:lncRNA from 1 species